rnacentral:rRNA from 1 species
CGAUUGGGUAGCCGGCCUGAGAGGGCGACCGGCCACACUGGGACUGAGACACGGCCCAGACUCCUACGGGAGGCAGCAGUGGGGAAUAUUGCACAAUGGGCGCAAGCCUGAUGCAGCGACGCCGCGUGAGGGAUGACGGCCUUCGGGUUGUAAACCUCUUUCAGCAGGGAAGAAGCGCAAGUGACGGUACCUGCAGAAGAAGCGCCGGCUAACUACGUGCCAGCAGCCGCGGUAAUACGUAGGGCGCAAGCGUUGUCCGGAAUUAUUGGGCGUAAAGAGCUCGUAGGCGGUCUGUCGCGUCUGGUGUGAAAUCCCGAGGCUCAACCUCGGGCUUGCAUCGGGUACGGGCAGACUAGAGUGCGGUAGGGGAGACGGGAAUUCCUGGUGUAGCGGUGGAACGCGCAGAUAUCAGGAGGAACACCGAUGGCGAAGGCAGGUCUCUGGGCCGCAACUGACGCUGAGGAGCGAAAGCAUGGGGAGCGAACAGGAUUAGAUACCCUGGUAGUCCAUGCCGUAAACGUUGGGCACUAGGUGUGGGGCUCAUUCCACGAGUUCCGUGCCGCAGCUAACGCAUUAAGUGCCCCGCCUGGGAGUACGGCCGCAAGGCUAAAACUCAAAGGAAUUGACGGGGGCCCGCACAAGCGGCGGAGCAUGCGGAUUAAUUCGAUGCAACGCGAAGAACCUUACCAAGGCUUGACAUGCACCGGAAACACUCAGAGAUGGGUGCCCCGUAAGGUCGGUGCACAGG